AGGGAAUCUUCUACAAUGGGCGAAAGCCUGAUGGACCACCGCGGCUGAAUGGAAGAGGGAUUCGGGUUGUAAAAACUCUGUGGUAGGGGAAAACAAAGACAGUAAGAACCUGCUGGUCCCUGACCGUUACCUUAUAGAAAGGCACGGCCAACUUACGGCCAGCACCGCGGUAAUACGUAGGUGGCAAGCGGUGUCCGGAAUUAUUGGGCGUAAAGCGCGCGCAGGUGGUUUCUUAAGUCUGAUGUGAAAGCCCACGGCUCAACCGUGGAGGGUCAUUGGAAACUGGGAGACUUGAGUGCAGAAGAGGAUAGUGGAAUUCCAAGUGUAGCGGUGAAAUGCGUAGAGAUUUGGAGGAACACCAGUGGCGAAGGCGACUAUCUGGUCUGUAACUGACACUGAGGCGCGAAAGCGUGGGGAGCAAACA
rnacentral:rRNA from 1 species